UUUGUAGAAUGAACCGGCGAGUUACGAUUUGUUGCAAGGUUAAGCGGAAAAAGCGGAGCCGUAGCGAAAGCGAGUCUGAAUAGGGCGCAUAAGUAACAGGUCGUAGACCCGAAACCAGGUGAUCUACCCAUGUCCAGGAUGAAGGUAAGGUAAUACUUACUGGAGGUCCGAACCCACGCACGUUGAAAAGUGCGGGGAUGAGGUGUGGGUAGCGGAGAAAUUCCAAUCGAACUUGGAGAUAGCUGGUUCUCUCCGAAAUAGCUUUAGGGCUAGCCUCGAGGUAAAGAGUCAUGGAGGUAGAGCACUGUUUGGACUAGGGGCCCUUCUCGGGUUACCGAAUUCAGAUAAACUCCGAAUGCCAUGUACUUAUACUCGGGAGUCAGACUGCGAGUGAUAAGAUCCGUAGUCGAAAGGGAAACAGCCCAGACCACCAGUUAAGGUCCCCAAAUAUAUGUUAAGUGGAAAAGGAUGUGGGGUUGCUUAGACAACCAGGAUGUUGGCUUAGAAGCAGCCACCAUUGAAAGAGUGCGUAAUAGCUCACUGGUCGAGUGACCCCGCGCCGAAAAUGUACCGGGGCUAAACAUAUUACCGAAACUGUGGAUGAACCUCUUUAGAGGUUCGUGGUAGGAGAGCGUUCUAAGGGCGGUGAAGUCAGACCGGAAGGACUGGUGGAGCGCUUAGAAGUGAGAAUGCCGGUAUGAGUAGCGAAAGAAGGGUGAGAAUCCCUUCCACCGAAUAUCUAAGGUUUCCUGAGGAAGGCUCGUCCGCUCAGGGUUAGUCGGGACCUAAGCCGAGGCCGAUAGGCGUAGGCGAUGGACAACAGGUAGAGAUUCCUGUACCAGUGCUAAUUGUUUAACCGAUGGGGUGACACAGAAGGAUAGGGAAUCGCACGAAUGGAAAUGUGCGUCCAAGCAGUGAGUGUGAGAAGUAGGCAAAUCCGCUUCUCGCGAAGCAUGAGCUGUGAUGGGGAAGGAAAUUAAGUACGGAAGUUCCUGAUUUCACGCUGUCAAGAAAAGCCUCUAGGAAGAGUAGUACUGCCCGUACCGCAAACCGACACAGGUAGAUGAGGAGAGAAUCCUAAGGUGAGCGAGAGAACUCUCGUUAAGGAACUCGGCAAAAUGACCCCGUAACUUCGGGAGAAGGGGUGCUCUAUUAGGGUGCAAGCCCGAGAGAGCCGCAGUGAAUAGGCCCAGGCGACUGUUUAGCAAAAACACAGGUCUCUGCAAAACCGUAAGGUGACGUAUAGGGGCUGACGCCUGCCCGGUGCUGGAAGGUUAAGAGGAGUGCUUAGCUUCGGCGAAGGUACGAAUUGAAGCCCCAGUAAACGGCGGCCGUAACUAUAACGGUCCUAAGGUAGCGAAAUUCCUUGUCGGGUAAGUUCCGACCCGCACGAAAGGCGCAACGAUCUGGGCACUGUCUCAACGAGAGACUCGGUGAAAUUAUAGUACCUGUGAAGAUGCAGGUUACCCGCGACAGGACGGAAAGACCCCGUGGAGCUUUACUGCAACCUGAUAUGGAAUGUUUGUACCGCUUGUACAGGAUAGGUAGGAGCCGAAGAGACGUGUGCGCUAGCAUACGAGGAGGCAAUGGUGGGAUACUACCCUGGCUGUAUGACCAUUCUAACCCGCCACGCUUAGCGCGUGGGGAGACAGUGUCAGGUGGGCAGUUUGACUGGGGCGGUCGCCUCCUAAAGAGUAACGGAGGCGCCCAAAGGUUCCCUCAGAAUGGAUGGAAAUCAUUCGCAGAGUGUAAAGGCACAAGGGAGCUUGACUGCGAGACUGACAAGUCGAGCAGGGACGAAAGUCGGGCUUAGUGAUCCGGUGGUUCCGCAUGGAAGGGCCAUCGCUCAACGGAUAAAAGCUACCCCGGGGAUAACAGGCUUAUCUCCCCCAAGAGUCCACAUCGACGGGGAGGUUUGGCACCUCGAUGUCGGCUCGUCGCAUCCUGGGGCUGUAGUCGGUCCCAAGGGUUGGGCUGUUCGCCCAUUAAAGCGGCACGCGAGCUGGGUUCAGAACGUCGUGAGACAGUUCGGUCCCUAUCCGUCGCGGGCGCAGGAAAUUUGAGAGGAGCUGUCCUUAGUAC
rnacentral:rRNA from 1 species